rnacentral:rRNA from 1 species
GACGAAGUCUGAUGGAGCACGCCGCGUGAGUGAUGAAGGUUUUCGGAUCGUAAAACUCUGUUGUAAGGGAAGAACAAGUACGUUAGUAACUGAACGUACCUUGACGGUACCUUAUUAGAAAGCCACGGCUAACUACGUGCCAGCAGCCGCGGUAAUACGUAGGUGGCAAGCGUUGUCCGGAUUUAUUGGGCGUAAAGCGCGCGCAGGUGGUUUCUUAAGUCUGAUGUGAAAGCCCACGGCUCAACCGUGGAGGGUCAUUGGAAACUGGGAGACUUGAGUGCAGAAGAGGAAAGUGGAAUUCCAAGUGUAGCGGUGAAAUGCGUAAAGAUUUGGAGGAACACCAGUGGCGAAGGCGACUUUCUGGUCUGUAACUGACACUGAGGCGCGAAAGCGUGGGGAGCAAACAGGAUUAAAUACCCUGGUAGUCCACGCCGUAAACGAUGAGUGCUAAGUGUUAGGGGGUUUCCGCCCCUUAGUGCUGCAGCUAACGCAUUAACCACUCCGCCUGGGGAGUACGGCCGCAAGGUUGAAACUCAAAGGAAUGGACGG